rnacentral:rRNA from 1 species
GCAGUCGACGGCAGCACAGAGGAGCUUGCUCCUUGGGUGGCGAGUGGCGGACGGGUGAGGAAUACGUCGGAAUCUGCCUAUUUGUGGGGGAUAACGUAGGGAAACUUACGCUAAUACCGCAUACGACCUACGGGUGAAAGCGGAGGACCUUCGGGCUUCGCGCAGAUAGAUGAGCCGACGUCGGAUUAGCUAGUUGGCGGGGUAAAGGCCCACCAAGGCGACGAUCCGUAGCUGGUCUGAGAGGAUGAUCAGCCACACUGGAACUGAGACACGGUCCAGACUCCUACGGGAGGCAGCAGUGGGGAAUAUUGGACAAUGGGCGCAAGCCUGAUCCAGCCAUGCCGCGUGUGUGAAGAAGGCCUUCGGGUUGUAAAGCACUUUUGUCCGGAAAGAAAAGCUUCGGGUUAAUACCCCGAGGUCAUGACGGUACCGGAAGAAUAAGCACCGGCUAACUUCGUGCCAGCAGCCGCGGUAAUACGAAGGGUGCAAGCGUUACUCGGAAUUACUGGGCGUAAAGCGUGCGUAGGUGGUUUGUUAAGUCUGAUGUGAAAGCCCUGGGCUCAACCUGGGAAUGGCAUUGGAAACUGGCUUACUAGAGUGCGGUAGAGGGUAGUGGAAUUCCCGGUGUAGCAGUGAAAUGCGUAGAUAUCGGGAGGAACAUCUGUGGCGAAGGCGACUACCUGGACCAGCACUGACACUGAGGC